CAGCCGCCGCGGGAAUACGAAGGGGGCUAGCGUUGUUCGGAAUUACUGGGCGUAAAGGGCGCGUAGGCGGCCAUUCAAGUUAGAUGUGAAAGCCCUGGGCUCAACCUAGGAAUUGCAUUUGAUACUGUUUGGCUUGAGUUCGGGAGAGGUGAGUGGAAUUCCCAGUGUAGAGGUGAAAUUCGUAGAUAUUGGGAAGAACACCAGUGGCGAAGGCGGCUCACUGGACCGACACUGACGCUGAGGCGCGAAAGCGUGGGGAGCAAACAGGAUUAGAUACCCCCGUAGUCCCUGUCUCUUAUAC
rnacentral:rRNA from 1 species